AGGGCAAGUUUAGUGGUUAGCAUGUUUGCGUCGCACCUCCAGGGUUGCGGGUUCGAAUCCCGCCUCUGCCCUG